rnacentral:rRNA from 1 species
GUAGGUGGCAAGCGUUGUCCGGAAUUAUUGGGCGUAAAGCGCGCGCAGGUGGUUCUUUAAGUCUGAUGUGAAAGCCCCCGGCUCAACCGGGGAGGGUCAUUGGAAACUGGGGAACUUGAGUGCAGGAGAGGAAAGUGGAAUUCCACGUGUAGCGGUGAAAUGCGUAGAUAUGUGGAGGAACACCAGUGGCGAAGGCGACUCUCUGGCCUGUAACUGACACUGAGGCGCGAAAGCGUGGGGAGCAAACAGGGAUUAGAUACCCUGGUAGUCCACGCCGUAAACGAUGAGUGCUAAGUGUUGGGGGGGUUUCCCGCCCCUCAGUGCUGCAGCUAACGCAUUAAGCACUCCGCCUGGGGAUACGGUCGCAAGACUG